AAAGCGUGCGCAGGCGGUUAUGUAAGACAGAUGUGAAAUCCCCGGGCUCAACCUGGGAACUGCAUUUGUGACUGCAUGGCUAGAGUACGGUAGAGGGGGAUGGAAUUCCGCGUGUAGCAGUGAAAUGCGUAGAUAUGCGGAGGAACACCGAUGGCGAAGGCAAUCCCCUGGACCUGUACUGACGCUCAUGCACGAAAGCGUGGGGAGCAAACAGGAUUAGAUACCCCAGG
rnacentral:rRNA from 1 species